GCCCCGCGGGGCUUUGCAGCCGGGGCAGGCGCGUCCGCGCUGCUCGGAUGCGCGUGCGCUAUAGCCCGGGGCGCGCUGGGCCACUUGCCCCUCUCUGCAGUGUAGCCCUGCCUGGAUGCAUUCCUGUAGCCGUCCGUACCCCGCCCCAUGGGCUGGGCCGGGCCGUGGGGGGGCCCGUCUGUCACCUGUUUGCCAGCUGCAGAGUUUGUCUGCCCGAUGCUUCGCAGUCAGGAAUACUCCCGCAAGCCACUCCCUGGUUCUGCAGAGUGAACUUCGGGAGCUUUUGGGGGGGACUAGGCUGGGCCUCCCGAAUUGAGGCGGGAGCAACAGGGAUGCACAGUUGUUUGGGGGAGUUGAACGGUCAAGUUCCUCUAGCAGGCCUCGCUGUGCGUGCACACAAAUGAAGCGAAAUACAUUUUCUGCAAGAUAAUUCUAGCAUUUGAACUUACACAGCACAUCUGGGUUCAAGCUACUGCUGCUGAUGGACAUUGUCAGUAUACAGUACAUGACGGGCUGAGACCAGAAAUGUCAGUGUGUAGGGGAUGAGGAUGAAGUGUUCAGUAUGCAGACUGUGUCGGGGACAGAGAACUAUCCCAGCUCUCUCACCACAGCAGCUUGAGGCCAGACGUUUUAAAGAGAAUCAGACCACUGAACUGAAGGAACUCACUGGCUAAGCAGCUGGAACCAGAGUGUAUUCAAGUGCAUAACCAGCU